AUGAAACCUCCACCCUACCUAAACUUUUGAGUGGAACUGACUGAACUGUACUCUCAGUCUGCUCCACCUGGAGUAGAUAUUCUACCGUAUGAGUAGGUGGAGGAAGAGCACUCAGUCCUCUUGGCAAAACCUAUCAGGAAUAGAGCUUCUGCAACACAGAGUUGGGAAAGAUGAUAAAUGCCAAUGGCUUGUCCAUCCUGGGGUGAAACCACAGCUCUAGUUUGGGAACUUGGGUGAGAGGGAGCCCUCAUCUUCUUGGUCACAUCUACCAGGAAUAGUAUGCCUAGAUUAGCUCCCACAAUAUAUAGCUAGGAGGGAAGGAGGGAGCAGCCUGUGGCUCAAGUGUAGCCACAGACCGUCACUGUUCUUACUUCAAUUUAGUGUAUUUUCUUGAAUGAAUGUUUCUCCAUUUGUUGUAUCCUUAGGAUAACUGCCAGAGAUUUCCAAUGAUUGGAGAUUUUUUGUUUGUAAUUUUCUCCAGUUAAGGUUGUUUUGGGGGGAGAGUCUACCAUGUUCCUUGCUUUACCAUUCUGGCAGCCAAUUUCUAAAUUGUUUUUUGGUGAUAAGAUAAGAGAAAUAUAAAGUGGCUGUAACUAUGUCUGGUAAUAGAAGAAAUUACAAUUCUUUGACAUAGUAAGAAGAAUUUACCUUCCUGUGGUAGAUAGCGAAUUUGGGCCUUAAAAAAUAGUAAUUUGUUUUCUGAAUCUUUAUGUCCUUUUAUAGUCAAAUUUUCCAAGAGGUAAAGAGAGUCCUCCUGAUAAGAAGUUAGACCAGGUGAACAUAAGAGCAAGUCAUACACAUAUUGGAUCAAGGUACUGCCGAGUCACUGCCAGGUGUCAGGGAGAGCAGAUUUUGCUGGGCAUGAAAGCUAUGUGUGCAAGAUGAAUGAGCUUGGUGUGGAUCCUGUUCGUUUGUUUCUCACACUACAGCUGGCCAGCUUGUGUGGACCCACGUUGUCCCCUCUAUAUUUGGGUGCUGCUUCCACAUAAUGGAGACCUGUAAAACAGAGCAUGUCAGAUAAAGGGACACCUAUUCUGCGGUCCGGUGCCCACCUGUGCAUAGCAGCAGAGCCUGCAUGUCCUGUCUUGUGAUGAAUCCAUCGUGCAAGUGCUAAUGUUUCAUCACUAAUGGGAGUAGAACAUUCCACUUCAGCUAUAGCUGCUAAGCAAUCCACAUCAGCGUUAUACUCACGUUCAACCGAAGUCUUCUUAGCGUGAGCGCCUACAUGGAACACAGACAGGUAUCUUUCUAGACGUCGUUGGCUGAAGAACAUUGACAUCUUAACAUUUGAAUUUGCUUGAU